GUGCCAGCCGCCGCGGUAAUACGGAGGGUGCAAGCGUUAAUCGGAAUUACUGGGCGUAAAGCGCACGCAGGCGGUCUGUCAAGUCGGAUGUGAAAUCCCCGGGCUCAACCUGGGAACUGCAUCCGAAACUGGCAGGCUAGAGUCUUGUAGAGGGGGGUAGAAUUCCAGGUGUAGCGGUGAAAUGCGUAGAGAUCUGGAGGAAUACCGGUGGCGAAGGCGGCCCCCUGGACAAAGACUGACGCUCAGGUGCGAAAGCGUGGGGAGCAAACAGGAUUAGAUACCCUGGUAGUCCACGCCGUAAACGAUGUCGACUUGGAGGUUGUGCCCUUGAGGCGUGGCUUCCGGAGCUAACGCGUUAAGUCGACCGCCUGGGGAGUACGGCCGCAAGGUUAAAACUCAAAUGAAUUGACGGGGGCCCGCACAAGCGGUGGAGCAUGUGGUUUAAUUCGAUGCAACGCGAAGAACCUUACCUACUCUUGACAUCCAGAGAACUUAGCAGAGAUGCUUUGGUGCCUUCGGGAACUCUGAGACAGGUGCUGCAUGGCUGUCGUCAGCUCGUGUUGUGAAAUGUUGGGUUAAGUCCGCAACGAGCGCAACCCUUAUCUUGUUGCCAGCGGUCCGGCGGAACUCAAAGAGACUGCCAGUGAUAAAU
rnacentral:rRNA from 1 species